CGAACGCUGGCGGCAUGCCUAACACAUGCAAGUCGACCGAACCCUUCGGGGUUAGUGGCGCACGGGUGCGUAACGCGUGGGAAUCUGCCCUUUGCUUCGGAAUAACUCAGGGAAACUUGUGCUAAUACCGGAUGAUGUCUUCGGACCAAAGAUUUAUCGGCAAGGGAUGAGCCCGCGUAGGAUUAGGUAGUUGGUGGGGUAAAGGCCUACCAAGCCGACGAUCCUUAGCUGGUCUGAGAGGAUGAUCAGCCACACUGGGACUGAGACACGGCCCAGACUCCUACGGGAGGCAGCAGUGGGGAAUAUUGGACAAUGGGCGCAAGCCUGAUCCAGCAAUGCCGCGUGAGUGAUGAAGGCCCUCGGGUCGUAAAGCUCUUUUACCAGGGAUGAUAAUGACAGUACCUGGAGAAUAAGCUCCGGCUAACUCCGUG
rnacentral:rRNA from 1 species